AAAGACUCAAUUCCUGAGUUUUUGUGUUUAACGUUUGACUGUCCGUCUUAUAUGAAAUUUUUUUAUAAUUAGUAUUUUCAUUGUUGUUAGAUGAUAAAUCAUGAAUAAUAUUUUAUGUGUGAUUUAUCUUUUUAAUUUUUUUUAUAAUAUUUUCAAAUAAGACGGACGGUCAAACGUUAGACACGAAAACCUAUA
rnacentral:pre_miRNA from 1 species